rnacentral:rRNA from 1 species
CAAGUAGGCGGCCUAUUAAGUGAGGGGUGAAAUCCUGCGGCUCAAUCGCAGAACUGCCUUUCAAACUAAUAGGCUUGAGAUCGGAAGGGGGAAAUGGAAUUAGCAGUGUAAGGGUGAAAUCUGUAGAUAUUGCUAAGAACACCAAUGGCGUAAGCAAUUUCCUGGUCCGAUUCUGACGCUAAAUUGCGAAAGCUAGGGGAGCAAACAGGAUUAGAUACCCUGGUAGUCC